GUUGCUUCUUAUGGUGAACUCCCUGUAAAUUUUGUUGGGUUGGGGAUGUUCAAGUUUCCGAAGCAUAGAUCAAAUUGCCAGUAUUAAACAGCACCAUGCAUGCUAUUUGGUUGCACUGUGUUACCUGUCUCCUGGUACAUGU